ACGGGGUGCAGCAGGCGCGAAAACUUCGCAAUGUGGGAAACCACGACGAGGGGAGUCCAAGUGCUUACACAAUGUGUAGGCUGUUUCCGUGCCUAAAAAGCACGGAGAGUAAGGGCUGGGUAAGACCGGUGCCAGCCGCCGCGGUAACACCGGCAGCUCGAGUGGUGACCGCUUUUAUUGGGCCUAAAGCGUUCGUAGCCGGUUCAGUAAGUCUUUGGGCAAAUCUUCUCGCUUAACGAAAAGAAUUCCGAAGAUACUGCUGGACUUGGGGCCGAGAGAGGUUAGAGGUACUCCUGGGGUAGGGGUGAAAUCCUAUAAUCCUGGGGGGACCGCCAGUGGCGAAGGCGUCUAACCAGAGCGGACCCGACGGUGAGGGACGAAAGCCAGGGGCGCGAACGGGAUUAGGUACCCCGGUAGUCCUGGCCGUAAACGCUGCAUGCUAGGUGUUGCAUGCUCUACGGGGGCAUGCAGUGCCGAAGAGAAGUUGAUAAGCGUGCCGCCUGGAAGUAUAUCGCAAGU
rnacentral:rRNA from 1 species